rnacentral:rRNA from 1 species
UACGUAGGUGGCGAGCGUUGUCCGGAUUUACUGGGCGUAAAGAGCGCGUAGGUGGCCUGCCAAGUCUGGGGUGAAAUCUCUCGGCUUAACCGGGAGGGGUCUUCAGAUACUGGUGGGCUUGAGGGCAGCAGAGGUCGGUGGAAUUCCCGGUGGAGUGGUGAAAUGCGUAGAUAUCGGGAGGAACACCAGUGGCGAAGGCGGCCGACUGGGCUGGCCCUGACGCUGAGGUGCGAAAGCGUGGGGAGCGAACAGG